AUUGAACGCUGGCGGCAGGCCUAACACAUGCAAGUCGAACGAGUGGCGGACGGGUGAGUAAUGUCUGGGCAACUGCCUGAUGGAGGGGGAUAACUACUGGAAACGGUAGCUAAUACCGCACACCAUCAGAUGUGCCCAGAUGGGAUUGGCGAGUUGGUGUGGUAACGGCUCACCACGGCGACUAUCCCUACCUGGUCUGAGAGGAUGACCAGCCACACUGGAACUGAGACACGGUCCAGACUCCUACGGGAGGCAGCAGUGGGGAAUAUUGCACAAUGGGCGCAAGCCUGAUACAGCCAUGCCGCGUGUAUGAAGAAGGCCUUCGGGUUGUAAAGUACUUUCAGCGGGGAGGCGUUACCCGCAGAAGAAGCACCGGCUAACUCCGUGCCAGCAGCCGCGGUAAUUC
rnacentral:rRNA from 1 species